CCUACGGGAGGCAGCAGUGGGGAAUUUUGCGCAAUGGGGGAAACCCUGACGCAGCAACGCCGCGUGCGGGACGAAGGCCCUCGGGCUGUAAACCGCUUUCAGCAGGGAAGACAUCGACGGUACCUGCAGAAGACUCUCCGGCUAACUACGUGCCAGCAGCCGCGGUAAUACGUAGGGGGCGAGCGUUAUCCGGUUUCAUUGGGCGUAAGGCGCGCGUAGGCGGCCGCCUAAGCGGAACCUCUAACCCCGGGGCUCAACCUCGGGCCGGGUUCCGGACUGGGCGGCUCGAGUGCGGUAGAGGAGAGCGGAAUUCCCGGUGUAGCGGUGGAAUGCGCAGAUAUCGGGAAGAACACCGAUGGCGAAGGCAGCUCGCUGGGCCGUCACUGACGCUGAGGCGCGAAAGCUGGGGGAGCGAACAGGAUUAGAUACCCUUGUAGUC
rnacentral:rRNA from 1 species